rnacentral:rRNA from 1 species
AGGAUGAACGCUGGCGGCGUGCUUAACACAUGCAAGUCGAACGGUGAAAGAGAGCUUGCUCUCUGGAUCAGUGGCGAACGGGUGAGUAACACGUGAGUAACCUGCCCUUGACUCUGGGAUAAGCACUGGAAACGGUGUCUAAUACCGGAUACGACUUCCGAAGGCAUCUUCUGGAAGUGGAAAGAAUUUCGGUCAAGGAUGGACUCGCGGCCUAUCAGCUAGUUGGUGAGGUAACGGCCCACCAAGGCGACGAC